rnacentral:rRNA from 1 species
GUCGCCUCCUAAAAGGUAACGGAGGCGCUCAAAGGUUCCCUCAGAAUGGUUGGAAAUCAUUCAUAGAGUGUAAAGGCAUAAGGGAGCUUGACUGCGAGACCUACAAGUCGAGCAGGGUCGAAAGACGGACUUAGUGAUCCGGUGGUUCCGCAUGGAAGGGCCAUCGCUCAACGGAUAAAAGCUACCCCGGGGAUAACAGGCUUAUCUCCCCCAAGAGUUCACAUCGACGGGGAGGUUUGGCACCUCGAUGUCGGCUCAUCGCAUCCUGGGGCUGUAGUCGGUCCCAAGGGUUGGGCUGUUCGCCCAUUAAAGCGGUACGCGAGCUGGGUUCAGAACGUCGUGAGACAGUUCGGUCCCUAUCCGUCGUGGGCGUAGGAAAUUUGAGAGGAGCUGUCCUUAGUACGAGAGGACCGGGAUGGACAUACCUCUGGUGUACCAGUUGUCGUGCCAACGGCAUAGCUGGGUAGCUAUGUGUGGACGGGAUAAGUGCUGAAAGCAUCUAAGCAUGAAGCCCCCCUCAAGAUGAGAUUUCCCAACUUCGGUUAUAAGAUCCCUCAAAGAUGAUGAGGUUAAUAGGUUCGAGGUGGAAGCAUGGUGACAUGUGGAGCUGACGAAUACUAAUCGAUC